CUUGGAACUUAGGUUGGGGUUGAAGAAGAGUUGUGAGAUGUAUUUCUAUUGGUUUAUGAGGAAGGGGUCUGUCUUAGUCUGUUUUAUGUUACUUAUAACGGAAUACCUAAAACUGGGUAAUUUGUAAGACAUGAAAUUUGUUUCCUUACAGUUCUGGAGGCUUGAAAGUCCAAGGUCAAGUGGAUGCAACUGAUGGUGUUAGAAGUGGGGUCUGAAGUAGAGCCUCUAUAAGAACCCCAGGAGUGCUGAGUGAACAAGCAAGGUAUCUGCUGGAGCUACUUGUGUCCUUUGAUCUCUCAGCAGCUGGAGAUCAUGCUGUUUUCCCUGCCUGAGAUGUUCUUCCUCCAGAUCAUCAGAGACAUGGAUGAAACUGAAGACCAUUAUCUUAAGUGAAACAACUCAGACAAAUAUCAUGUGGAAACUCACUGGGCUGAUGAAUGCAGUCUUCCUGAUGUGAAUGGGAUUGAAGAGCUUGUCAAAAAACAUAAAGCCAACUUCACCCUUGUCACUGAACUGAGACUUUUCAACCAAACCUGUUACACAGAAAAGAAAAUACCGAAAGAAUAUUCAUCAAUCUGUAAAUAGUG
rnacentral:lncRNA from 1 species